rnacentral:rRNA from 1 species
ACAUAUUUUAGAGCCUAAUUCAUUUUGAUUAACAAUCAAAAUUACAUUCAAAUCCAAAUUUAAUUUUCUAAUGCUAGAACCUUUCCUUAAAUAAAUUUAUUGUAAUCCAUCUCUACUUCAAUAAGCUGCACCUUGAUCUGAUUUUCUAUAUAGUAAAAUAUUUAAAUUAUAUAUUUCAAAAAAUAAUUAACAACAACGAUAUACAAGCAAAAUUUAAGUUAUAUUAAUCGUGGAUUAUCGAUUACAGGACAGAUUCCCCUGAUUGGAAUAAAAAACCGCCAAAUUUUUUGAUUUUAAAGGACAUAUCUCAUAUUUAUCAAGUCUAAUAUUUUCUACAUUUAGAAUAAUGGGGUAUCUAAUCCCAGUCUAUUAUCUAAAUUUCUCAACUUCAUAACCAAAAAUUUAAUUUAAUGAAAAAUAAGAUUUCACCCAAUAUUUCUCACAACAAAAAUUAAUUUUUAUUAAUUAAGUAUAACUAUUCUAAAAUAGUUGCUUUAUCUGUCUAACCGCA